GUGCAAAUAAUGGAAAAAAAUCACUAUUGGGGGGAAAGAAGUGUCAUGAACAAAGGAACCACUGAUGCCA